GAUGAACGCUGGCGGCGUGCCUAAUACAUGCAAGUCGAGCGAAGCGGGGACGGGUGAGUAACACGUGGAUAUCCUCCUAUAAGACUGGGAUAACUUCGGAAAACGGGACCAAAACGGAUAACUAAGAGUGGGAUCGCCGCUGCGUUAGCUAGUUGGUAAGGUAACGGCUUACCAAGGCAACAAUGCAUAGCCGACCUGAGAGGGUGAUCGGCCACACUGGAACUGAGAAACGGUCCAGACUCCUACGGUAGGCAGCAGUAGGGAAUCUUCCGCAAUGGGCGAAAGCCUGACGGGGCAACGCCGCGUGAGUGAUGAAGGUCUUCGGAUCGUAAAACUCUGUUAUUAGGGAAGCGGUACCUAAUCAGAAAGCCACGGCUAACUACGUGCCAGCAGCCGCGGUAAUUC
rnacentral:rRNA from 1 species